UUUGUUUUCCCUGCUGGUUAUCACUUUAUUUCUACACUUCUUUUGUACAAAACUCAAAAAUGUUUUAUAUGGUUUCUGUCCCUAUGUAAUGAUUGCUUUUCAUUUCCUCUUAAACUUUUAAUCAGGCAUUCACCCCUACCAUUCCAUAGGAAUGUUGCUAGUGAUUUCAUGCUAAAUCACGAAAGGAUCUUUUUUGUUUUUUGACUGAAGAAAUUUACUUUUUUCCAAAAUGAUUUUUUUUUUAAACUUAAAAGGUGAAGGCUCUGCUACUUGUCCCUUAUUGUUGUAUGCUGGUUUCUCCUCUCUAUUAGUCUCAUCUCAUCACCCAAGCUAAUGGAGGCUCCACAUUCUGGAACUUCCACUCCAGCCCGAGACAGUAAACAUAGUAAAUAAGCAAAUAGUAUGUUAGGAAAUAAGAGCUUUAGCAUUGUGUAUGUGUGAAGAAUACUGACAUUGAGAUUUAAGCAGUCUUGAAUGAGGCAGAAGUUGGCCAGACAGUCCUCUAGUACUUCAAGUAAAGAGAACAGCUUGAGCAAGGGCCUCAAGGUCAGAUUGUAACAGUAAGGAGGCCAGAGUGGUGGGGGAGGUAGAAGAGGUGAGACAGUUAAAUGAUAAUCUGAGGGGUCCUUUUGGCCUUUACUCUGAAAGGAGUCUUUCAUCGUUCUUAAGCAGAGGAGUAUCAUGAUGUGAUGCACCUGGCUGAAAAUGGAGGUUGUAAUGAUGGUUCUACCCCAUUCAGCCUAUCAGUCUUGGGUCUACUCAGAAUUCCCAAUAGUACUCUCAAGUCAGAGCCAGCAUCAAGCAGCUCUCACCUGGAUUUCCUAAGUUCUUUACUAAAUAAUGUGCCUGCUUCUACCAUCCAGUUAAUAUAACAGCCAGAUUGAUCCUUUUAAAAUGGAAAUCAGACACCAUCACAACUCAGUUCAACGCGCUCCCUGUCUCAGGCCCUUUCCCCUCAUACACAUUUUUCUAACCACAUGGGCCCUUCUUUCAGAUCCUAUUCACCAAAGACUUUCCUGCCUCUCGGCCUUUCUACCUGGAAGGGCCUUUCCCUUGACCACUUUAGGGCUAAUUUCUUACCUUCAGGUCUUAGGUUCAGGAUCAAGCGUUAGAGGGCCCUCCCUGACCCCAUUCUUCCCACCAUUGUGCCCAGU
ensembl:lncRNA